AUGGCAGAGGCUAGAGCUCUCAAAUUUGGUCUAACAUUGGCGCAAAGGGCGGGAUGCAAUCGCAUUAUCGUAAAUUCGGAUAAUAUGGAGGUGAUUGACUCUAUGAAUGAUGGAGGGCAGUCGGCGGGUGCGGCGGCAGCAAUCUUCGAAGACUGUUUUCAUUAUGCAUGUGAUUUCAUUACUGCUAGAUUUGAGCACUGUAAUAGGGAAACAAAUAAAGUAGCUCAUGAGCUUGCUAGAUUAGCUAGAUUUUCUUUGACUUCUGAUUGGUUUGAGGAGCCUUUAAGUGAAAUUGUAAUGUUCCUCACAAACGAUGUACUACUUAUUACAAAUGAAUAA
rnacentral:rRNA from 1 species